rnacentral:piRNA from 1 species
ACAACGCGGAAUGAAACCCAGUCUACUCC